GCAUUUAGCAACCCGCAAGCAUUUGCUGCCUAAAACAGCUGGAUUUGAAAUGUUAAGCCUCAGCUUUGAUUAACUAUCCAGCAAGGUAUGAUGGCAGCUUUAAGACAUGGAAUAGAUUUAUCUUUACAAAGACAGCAAAACGUUUUCUCUCAUUAACUUCUUUCAAAAGUUAAUGGGGGAGGCAGCAAAUACACAGAUCAGAUUAACAGAGAAUGAGACACUGACAUUUUUCUGCAGCAGGAGUAAACAGCGUAAGUUUUAGAUGAAUAGUCCUACUUCAGUGUUACCAGAGGUAUUUUUGGUGCCCAAGAUAAAACUCACAGCAGAGGAACAUUUAGCUUAUACAGUGCAAUACCAAAGGAAAAGCCACAGGUGGUGGCUGAUUAGCUUACCUUACAUCUAAUGAAAUUCACAAGAUCCUCCCUGCGUAAAAUGGCUGCACUGAUUACAUGAACAAUCCCUGGGAGCAUCCAUGGGGAUGCGGAAUGAACAAAGUAAUGGAUCCACAGCUCUGUGCCCUGCAAAAGUGAUAUGUGCCAUUCCAAACAAUCUAGUAAAUCAGGUUUUAAAUAGUCUUUAAGGGAGAUUGAAGAGAAUUUGAAGUUCAAUGAGUUAAUUCACCAAAAUACGCUUUCCAAAGCAGCAUUUUAAGGGAUUACAGAAUCACCAAACUCAGAUUAUUACAAACAUGCAAUUAAGUCACAGACUUUUUCUGAGGAAAUAAUUGAGCCUUUUUUUUACGAAGACCUGCAUAGGCAUCACUCACUUCAAGGUUAAGGUUCUUAAAUUCACAUAGGAAGACCUCAUCACUCUUCAACUCCCCACAUGCUGCCUCAUCUCACACAGCCUGGGGACUGGGAGUUUCUUCACUGGGAUCUGGUGAGUGCAGGGGCCUCAAGCAGAGCUGAUGGAGGACAGGUGUUGCACUCAGAUUAGUGCACACAAGAGCAUGUGCAGUGUUGCCACAGGAGGGAAGACUUCUGAGCUCGAGGAGGCUCUGCCUCUAUUUUCCCCUUCUGGCAGAAACAAUAGAUGGGCAGGAUUUGAAACUGCAGCCAGACUCCAAUGCUUGAUGCGCAGCCCAUGGGAAAGAACAGAAACUGUACAGGAGCUGGGUGCACACGAAGGCAUUAUAAAAAUCUCUCUGCCCUUGGGAAGAGCGCAACUUGCUUCAACUUUAUGGCAUCAUGGAUUUACUUAAUCUUUCCUAAGAGUGUUGGAAUGAUUCUAUAAAUUUCAUUUCUUAUCUUGCAAAUUAAGUCAGAGCUGCAAAUAUGGCUCUAGAGGCUGAUUCUCCCUGUGUCUGCAUUCUGUUUAAUUAUGCUCAAGAAAAAGCAGCAGCAGCAGCUGAGGACAGACAGCUGCUGCUCUGCCAGGGAAGUGCUCACCUUCACUGGAAAUGGCAUAAAUGCACUGCGGAUGCAAGGUCACUGAGGAUCUGACUGCUGCUGGAAAAAGCCCCUAAAAAUCUAGAGAGGGCAGAGCAAGUGGAAUGGCAGGUCCAUAUACUCUAGUCUCUAAGUCUUCUAAGUCUUGGAUGUCUUAUCUUCUAAGUCUUGGAAUAACUCAGGAAGAAAAGUCAAAUGCUGUUAGGUAUCCCUCGAUGAUUCAGUUAACAUUUUGGAGUUUGGGAAAAAAAACACGACCUGAACAGAACCUGCAAUCAGCUUGACACUGCCACCAGCCAUAAGCAUGAUUGAUACUACAUUGGCUCCAUUAGAUACAGUCUCUAUAAGAGAGUUAUCAGCACCUUAAGAACAAAACCUCUUUUCUGGUUGCUGUUUAAGGUCACCUUUGUAGUACACCAAAAGUUUUAACUGAAGAAAACUUCUGUUGCAAGUUAUCUGCCCCAGUGGGGUUCUGAAUCUUCAGCCUGAACUGUACUUUGUCCCCAUUGCCAUGCUACUUUGACUCUUCCAUUGUCGACG
ensembl:lncRNA